rnacentral:rRNA from 1 species
UACCAGCACCCCGAGUGGUCGGGACGUUUAUUGGGCCUAAAGCAUCCGUAGCCGGUUCUACAAGUCUUCCGUUAAAUCCAACUGCUUAACAGGUGGGCUGCGGAAGAUACUAUAGAGCUAGGAGGCGGGAGAGGCAAGCGGUACUCGAUGGGUAGGGGUAAAAUCCGUUGAUCCAUUGAAGACCACCAGUGGCGAAGGCGGCUUGCCAGAACGCGCUCGACGGUGAGGGAUGAAAGCUAGGGGAGCAAAUGGG